CUAGCUAAGGUCAAGCACUGCAACAGUUCUUAUCAGUUCAAUAACUGAUAUGUCUUUAAUGGGAAGACUUUCUAUUAAACAGAUCUUGGGGCUCAGGAUUUGGAUCUGGAGCUUGCUCUUUUCACUUUGUGCACUGUUUCUGACAUCAUGAACGUGGCAUUUAGGGACACAGAUUU
rnacentral:snRNA from 1 species